UACGAAGGGGGCUAGCGUUGCUCGGAAUCACUGGGCGUAAAGCGCACGUAGGCGGAUUGUUAAGUCAGGGGUGAAAUCCUGGAGCUCAACUCCAGAACUGCCUUUGAUACUGGCGAUCUUGAGUCCGGGAGAGGUGAGUGGAACUGCGAGUGUAGAGGUGAAAUUCGUAGAUAUUCGCAAAGAACACCAGUGGCGAAGGCGGCUCACUGGCCCGGUACUGACGCUGAGGUGCGAAAGCGUGGGGAGCAAACAGG
rnacentral:rRNA from 1 species